AACGCGAAGAACCUUACCUGGGCUCGAAAUGUUGUGGACCGGGGUGGAAACAUCCCUUCCCCGCAAGGGGCCGCAAUAUAGGUGCUGCAUGGCUGUCGUCAGCUCGUGUCGUGAGAUGUUGGGUUAAGUCCCGCAACGAGCGCAACCCUUAUCUUCAGUUGCUACCAUUUAGUUGAGCACUCUGACGAAACCGCCUCGGAUAACGGGGAGGAAGGUGGGGAUGACGUCAAGUCCUCAUGGCCUUUAUGUCCAGGGCUACACACGUGCUACAAUGGCCGGUACAAACCGUCGCAAACCCGCGAGGGGGAGCUAAUCGGAAAAAGCCGGCCUCAGUUCGGAUUAGAGUCUGCAACUCGACUCUAUGAAGCUGGAAUCGCUAGUAAUCGCGGAUCAGAACGCCGCGGUGAAUACGUUCCCGGGCCUUGUACACACCGGACACGC
rnacentral:rRNA from 1 species